AUUUUAGCUGUACUGAAAGGUUUUACAGUCACACGGGGACUCAAAAACGCCCCGCCGCCGGCAGCAGUGGAGAAUCUUGGUCAAUAAAUUAAAUAUUUGAACUAGCGUUUUGCGGGAGUGAUAGAUUAAGUUAAUCGAGAAGGUUAUUUAUUAACUGUAAAGCUCAUUCGUAGGAAUUAUACCCGUUUAUAUUUAUAUAUAAACAAGUAAUAUAAAAACAAUGCUUAGGCUUAAGAAGAACUUCGGGCUAACAACGUGCCAGCAGCUGCGGUAAGACGUUGACGAGGGAGCGUUAUUGGUCAUUACUAGGCGUGAAAAGUGGCUCGAUUGUAUAAAAAAUUAUAUUUAAAAUCGUAGGCUUAACGAAGACUUAUAUAAAAUUUUAUUACUAGAGAAGUUAAGAAGUUCGCAAUAAGCGAAAUCUAGAGAUAAAAUUCAGACAGAUUUUGAGGAUUUUCGAAAGCCUCGGCAGCGUCUUAUUAAUUUCUGGACAUCUAACCACUAAAGUAUAAACACCGAUUAGGAUUGGAGACCCUAAUAGCUUAUACUUUGAAUCGAUGGAUAUUAUAAUAAUGGUUGUUAUCCAUUUUUAUCAGUUAACGCGAAAAUAUCUUGCCUGGGGAGUACGGCUGCAAAGGCUAAACUUAAAAAGAUUGGCGGGAGUUUGUAUAAACGGUGGAGCGUGUGGUUUAAUUCGACAAUCCACGAUUAACCUUACCAAUAAAGUUAUUUUUUUUUAUAAAAAGUAUGAAUUAGUUUUUUUGAAAAAAAAAAUAAGUGGCACUGCAUGGCUGUCGUCAGUUUGUGCCGUAGGGUGCAAUAUUAAGUUAUUGAACAAACGCAACCUUUUUAAUAAAUUUUUAUUUUUUAU
rnacentral:rRNA from 1 species